rnacentral:tRNA from 1 species
AAGGAGUUAUCCAAAAGGUUAAGGCAUUAUAUCUACAUUAUAAAAUACAGAGGUUCAAAUCCUCUACUCUUUA